CCCAUCCUAGUACUACUCUCGCC
rnacentral:siRNA from 1 species